CUACGUAUUCCUCCGCAGAUGGUGUCUUGCGCCGCCGCCGUGAGUACAACGAUCAGAAACACUUCUGUGUCCACCCCGGCUACUUUCAUAAGGCUCUAGAUUGAGGUUACAUGGGUUUUUAAGUGUGUAUUUACUGCUUUAGUGAUAGAUUAACGAGAUUUAUACAUCAUCAUCAGGAAACACUCUUGAGAACCCGAUUGAUCGUCUCUCAGGCCUUUGAAAGCAAUCGUGAUGGGAGGGCAGAGUGUUUGAGUGUGUACGUGCGCUCGUCAGUGGAUGUCCCGCUGCCUGGGAUGUGAUAAUCCUGCCCUGAACCUCGACGCCGGGGAGUCAAAGCCUGGAUCGUAAAAUAUUCCACUGGCCUGGCGCCUCACCUGAAGCCGCCUGACCCAAGAGAGGUGGCGCUGAUGUGCAGUGGUGGAGUGGAGCGAUGGUCAGGGAGUGGGUGAUCCCGCUUUGGUGGACUUAAAGAUGACCAGUGCACGUGUAGGAAGAAGAUGCACAAGUACUCUGUAACCCCCUUGUCUGCUUCUGUAUUUUCCUCUUCUACCAUGACUUGACUUCUUUCAGGAGGUAAGCUUCAAGAAUCUCGUCAAAUCUUGGUUAAUCCUAUGUUGAAUAUACUGUUAUUGGGAUGGCCACCUUCAGUGGGCAUAUUUUAUAUCUUUUGUUGGCCUAGACCAGAGCACAUCUUAGAGAAGUGUGUAGUUGUCAAAAAUUGGUGAGCACCAGAUACUUUCAAUAUAAGGCAUCAUCUGAUUCCUAUAGAAACGUCUUCAACAUAUGAAAUAACUGAUAUCCUCAAAAAAUAUUUAGCAUUACAAAAUAUCUAUCAUUUAAGAGUUAUGCUCAUAUCUCUAGCUAUUCAUGACACAGAAAACGGGUAUCAUUUCCCCUGUAGCACCAAGAAAUCACGCUCAAGGCCAAUGGCACGCUGUUGUAGAGCACCAUAAAGAAAUGUUGCCUGUGUCUACCCGCUCACAAAAUUCACUCAUCACAAAGCGACCAAUAACACACACUGAACAUUGUAAAUUCAUGACCGACAGAAACAUGGACGCAUCUUUGUUAACUUGUAUAAAAAAUGCUCAAUCAAACGUAGGCCAUUAACCGUUUCAAUGUUAGUGAGCGGGGAACUGACCCAACACCGCCUCCCUUAUUUUCUCGCCCUUGUCUGGCCUCGUGUACCUUACCUACUUUUACUCGUACACAAAUUUUCCAGUAAGAGGCGCAUGUUGUUUGAACGAGUUUUGUAUUUUGUUAUAAAAAAAACUUAGGCUUUUGUUACGUCGUUCUGACAAUCAGCCGUGAGGCACAGAAGCUUUAUUCCGGGUAGCUGCCAUUUUUGCUCUUCAUCCCUCCCUUCUCUGAAAGAUUGUUUCUGCUCCUAAAUUUUAAAGCAGAGCCAACCGUACUGACAGGGCAAUUAAUGAGUAGUCUUUCUCUUCUCUGAUAUGCAUUACUUGUUAAAUCCUGGACUUCCUGGUCUACGUCCAUGGGUGCUGAGCUUUUUUCACGCGCCUUGAUUCUUGCUGCUCUCCAUUUUUCUUUACGGACUGGUUUUCCUUCUGUACACUUCCUGUUAGCUCUCGGAGUUGUUCCGUGGGCGGCCUGGGCACGGGGACUGGCUGGCUGCGUGGGGACAGCUCAGGUGCCUGCAGCUCAAUGUUUCCUCGUGCUUCGUUUUUACCAUCACGUGCGCCUCCUCCCAUCUGGUGAAUGAGGAUCGACAAUUCUUUACUUUUUCCCUCCAGUAACUCAAGUAUCUGUUUAUCACAAGUGACAGGUGCAGUGACAUUUAUGAGGUGUUGCUUGAGUUACCGUCACCAGGUAGUACGUUCUCACAGAGUGCAAACACUUUUAUUACCGACAAUUUUCUACUUUUAUUUAGCGUCUUGCGU